AUACGGAGGGUGCAAGCGUUAUUCGGAAUCACUGGGCGUAAAGGGUGCGUAGGCGGUUUGAUAAGUCUGAUGUGAAAUCCUAUGGCUCAACCAUAGAACUGCAUUGGAAACUGUCAGACUAGAAUACUGAAGGGGCAGAUGGAAUUAGUGGUGUAGGGGUAAAAUCCGUAGAUAUCACUAGGAAUACCGAAAGCGAAAGCGAUCUGCUGGGAAGUUAUUGACGCUGGGGCACGAAAGCGUGGGGAGCAAACGGGAUUAGAAACCCUAGUAGUCC
rnacentral:rRNA from 1 species